AGUCGAACGAUGAACCACUUCGGUGGGGAUUAGUGGCGAACGGGUGAGUAACACGUGGGCAAUCUGCCCUUCACUCUGGGACAAGCCCUGGAAACGGGGUCUAAUACCGGAUAACACUCCUGCCCGCAUGGGUGGGGGUUGAAAGCUCCGGCGGUGAAGGAUGAGCCCGCGGCCUAUCAGCUUGUUGGUGGGGUAAUGGCCUACCAAGGCGACGACGGGUAGCCGGCCUGAGAGGGCGACCGGCCACACUGGGACUGAGACACGGCCCAGACUCCUACGGGAGGCAGCAGUGGGGAAUAUUGCACAAUGGGCGAAAGCCUGAUGCAGCGACGCCGCGUGAGGGAUGACGGCCUUCGGGUUGUAAACCUCUUUCAGCAGGGAAGAAGCGAAAGUGACGGUACCUGCAGAAGAAGCGCCGGCUAACUACGUGCCAGCAGCCGCGGUAAUACGUAGGGCGCAAGCGUUGUCCGGAAUUAUUGGGCGUAAAGAGCUCGUAGGCGGCUUGUCACGUCGGAUGUGAAAGCCCGGGGCUUAACCCCGGGUCUGCAUUCGAUACGGGCAGGCUAGAGUGUGGUAGGGGAGAUCGGAAUUCCUGGUGUAGCGGUGAAAUGCGCAGAUAUCAGGAGGAACACCGGUGGCGAAGGCGGAUCUCUGGGCCAUUACUGACGCUGAGGAGCGAAAGCGUGGGGAGCGAACAGGAUUAGAUACCCUGGUAGUCCACGCCGUAAACGUUGGGAACUAGGUGUUGGCGACAUUCCACGUCGUCGGUGCCGCAGCUAACGCAUUAAGUUCCCCGCCUGGGGAGUACGGCCGCA
rnacentral:rRNA from 1 species